rnacentral:rRNA from 1 species
UUGGAGGGCAAGUCUGGUGCCAGCAGCCGCGGUAAUUCCAGCUCCAAUAGCGUAUAUUAAAGUUGUUGCAGUUAAAAAGCUCGUAGUUGAAUUUCGGGAUCAGAGUGUCGGUCGUGCCUCGGUACGCACUGGUAUUAUUGGUUCCUACCUUCUGAAGAACCGCGAUGUCAUUAAUUUGGUGUCGUGGGGAAUCAGGACUGUUACUUUGAAAAAAUUAGAGUGUUUAAAGCAGGCUUACGCUUGAAUACAUUAGCAUGGAAUAAUGAAAUAGGACGUUUGAUUCUAUUUUGUUGGUUUCUAGGAUUGACGUAAUGAUUAAUAGGGAUAGUUGGGGGCAUUAGUAUUCAAUUGUCAGAGGUGAAAUUCUUGGAUUUAUAAAAGACUAACUUCUGCGAAAGCAUUUGCCAAGGAUGUUUUCAUUAAUCAAGAACGAAAGUUAGGGGAUCGAAGACGAUCAGAUACCGUCGUAGUCUUAACCAUAAACUAUGCCGACUAGGGAUCAGACAGGGAUAUUUUGACUUGUUCGGCGCCUUACGGGAAAC